rnacentral:rRNA from 1 species
AACAGGAUUCCCCUAGUAACUGCGAGUGAAGCGGGAAAAGCUCAAAUUUAAAAUCUGGCAGCCUUUGGUUGUCCGAGUUGUAAUCUAGAGAAGUGUUAUCCGCGUUGGACCGUGUACAAGUCUCCUGGAAUGGAGCGUCAUAGAGGGUGAGAAUCCCGUCUUUGACACGGACUGCCAAGGCUUUGUGAUGCGCUCUCAAAGAGUCGAGUUGUUUGGGAAUGCAGCUCAAAAUGGGUGGUAAAUUCCAUCUAAAGCUAAAUAUUGGCGAGAGACCGAUAGCGAACAAGUACCGUGAGGGAAAGAUGAAAAGAACUUUGGAAAGAGAGUUAAACAGUACGUGAAAUUGCUGAAAGGGAAACGCUUGAAGUCAGUCGCGUUGUCCAGGGAUCAACCUUGCUUUUGCUUGGUGCACUUUCUGGUUGACGGGUCAGCAUCAAUUUUGACUAUUGGAAAAAGAUUAGGGGAAUGUGGCAUCUUUGGAUGUGUUAUAGCCCUUGGUUGCAUACAAUGGUUGGGAUUGAGGAACUCAGCACGCCGCAAGGCCGGGUUUUUAACCACGUACGUGCUUAGGAUGCUGGCAUAAUGGCUUUAAUCGACCCGUCUUGAAACACGGACCAAGGAGUCUAACAUGCCUGCGAGUGUUUGGGUGGAAAACCCGAGCGCGUAAUGAAAGUGAAAGUUGAGAUCCCUGUCGUGGGGAGCAUCGACGCCCGGACCAGACCUUUUGUGACGGUUCCGCGGUAGAGCAUGUAUGUUGGGACCCGAAAGAUGGUGAACUAUGCCUGAAUAGGGUGAAGCCAGAGGAAACUCUGGUGGAGGCUCGUAGCGAUUCUGACGUGCAAAUCGAUCGUCAAAUUUGGGUAUAGGGGCGAAAGACUAAUCGAACCAUCUAGUAGCUGG